rnacentral:rRNA from 1 species
AGUGAACGCUGGCGGUAGGCCUAACACAUGCAAGUCGAACGGCAGCACAGUAAGAGCUUGCUCUUACGGGUGGCGAGUGGCGGACGGGUGAGGAAUACAUCGGAAUCUACUUUUUCGUGGGGGAUAACGUAGGGAAACUUACGCUAAUACCGCAUACGACCUACGGGUGAAAGCAGGGGAUCUUCGGACCUUGCGCGAUUGAAUGAGCCGAUGUCGGAUUAGCUAGUUGGCGGGGUAAAGGCCCACCAAGGCGACGAUCCGUAGCUGGACUGAGAGGAUGAUCAGCCACACUGGAACUGAGACACGGUCCAGACUCCUACGGGAGGCAGCAGUGGGGAAUAUUGGACAAUGGGCGCAAGCCUGAUCCAGCCAUACCGCGUGGGUGAAGAAGGCCUUCGGGUUGCAAAGCCCUUUUGUUGGGAAAGAAAAGCAGCAGGUUAAUACCCCGCUGUUCUGACGGUACCCAAAGAAUAAGCACCGGCUAACUUCGUG